rnacentral:rRNA from 1 species
GACGAACGCUGGCGGCGUGCUUUAUACAUGCAAGUCGAACGAUGAAGUUCCUUCGGGAAUGGAUUAGUGGCGAACGGGUGAGGAACACGUGAGAAACCUGCCUUUCAUUCUGGGAUAACACCGGGAAACCGGUGCUAAUACCGGAUACUCCGUCUUGGCGGCAUCGCCGAGCCGGGCAAAAAUUUUGAUGAAAGAUGGUCUCGCGGCCUAUCAGCUAGUUGGUGAGGUAAAGGCUCACCAAGGCGACGACGGGUAGCCGGCCUGAGAGGGCGACGGGCCACACUGGGACUGAGACACGGCCCAGACUCCGACGGGAGGCAGCAGUAGGGAAUAUUGGGCAAUGGGCGCAAGCCUGACCCAGCGACGCCGCGUGAGGGAUGAAGGUCUUCGGAUUGUAAACCUCUUUCAGUAGGGAAGAAGCGAAAGUGACGGUACCUAAAGAAGAAGCACCGGCUAACUAUGUGCCAGCAGCCGCAGUAA